CGCCACUCCAACUGUGUAGCAGCCUGCCUUUGUCCCCAGUGCCUAGGAGCCAACUCUAAACCCUUGGAAUUUCCCAAGUGACUGGAGUGUCUGCUAUUCAUGGGGGCCCCUCAGCCCUCGUUUGAGAGAUUAUGCUAAUGAGGUGACUCUUGGUGAACCCCUUGAGUUUAUCUAACAACAUGACUCAAGGCAGGCUGGCCUCUCUGCCCCGGGGUUAGCACUGGUGCUCUGAGCCACGUGCUAUCAGCCUCACCUCUGGGGAGGAGGGGGGACUGGAGGCUGAGCUCUACCACAUGACAAUGAUUCAGUCAUUCAUGCCUAAGUAACAGAACCCCAAUGAUAAGAACUCUGGACACUGAAGUUCAGGUGAGCUUCCUGGCUAGCAAUAACCUGUCAUACUGUCAUGCAUCAGUGUGCCACGGGGGGACGUGGUCCUGAGGACAAACGAGGCUUCGCAUUUGAGACCCUCCCAGACCUUGCUCUAUGCAUCUCUCCUUUUGGCUGGUUCUAAUUUGUACCUUUUUGGUAUAAUAAAGCUAUAAUGGUAAGUACGGCACUCUCCGGAGUUCUGAAAGUCAUUCUAGCAAAUACUGAACCUGCAGGGGUCCAUGGGGACACCAGUAAGGAUGGUGUCUACACCUGCAGCUGGUAUCUGAAGUGAGGGCGUUCUCACGGAGGCCUGUGCCUGCGACCUGUCAAGUCUGGCCUAACUCCAGGGACCAGCACAGACGCAGAAGCCCAAGGCGCACUUCUCACCACUGCACUGGGGUUUCCAACCCCCUCGCUCAUGAGUAAAGCUGUGAAACCCAUCCUGCUACUCCAGGCUGCCUCAGGCCCUGAAUCCCUGCAGGUGUACUGUCGCUCCUUUAAAGCUGUCAGGAACUCCUCCCACACAUCCAUGUGACCACCAAAUGCACAAG
rnacentral:lncRNA from 10 species